rnacentral:rRNA from 1 species
GACGGGGCCCGCACAAGCAGCGGAGCGUGUGGUUUAAUUCGAUGAUACACGAAGAACCUUACCCAGGCUUGACAUGUUGGUAGUAGGGAUCCGAAAGGUGACCGACCUUCGGGAGCCUUCACAGGUGCUGCAUGGCUGUCGUCAGCUCGUGUCGUGAGAUGUCCGGGUUAAGUCCGGUAACGAGCGCAACCCUCGCUGUGUGUUAUAUGUGUCACACGGGACUGCCGGUAUCAAGCCGGAGGAAGGUGGGGAUGACGUCAAGUCAGCAUGGCCUUUAUGUCUGGGGCUACACACACGCUACAAUGGCCAGUACAAUAGGUUGCAAGACCGCGAGGUGGAGCCAAUCCAUAAAGCUGGUCUCAGUUCGGAUUGCAGGCUGCAACUCGCCUGCAUGAAGUCGGAAUCGCUAGUAAUCGCGGAUCAGCACGCCGCGGUGAAUACGUUCCCGGGCCUU